GUAUUCAACAUGGACCUGUCCCUCCUUAACUCUUCUCUUAGCCAAUUGAAAGAAGAAAACCCAAUCUUUUCUCUUCUCUUCCCUUCAGACGAUCUUGUCCUGGAGGACUUCGACGAGGAGGAGGAGUUUGAGAAUUGUAUGAGUAUCAGAAUGGAGAGGGUAGGAGUGGCUGAAUAGCCAUUUGAGCCGGAGACUCAAUCUUUGGUCUUUUUGUUUGGUUUUCUAGGCUGAGAGAGAACAACCACUCCAACAAUAAUAGAACUUGGUUACCCAGUGGCAGUAGCUUCAGGACAGACAGCUUUGCACAAUGCAUCUUUAUGUUGCGGGAUUCCCUUGGAGAUGUCGGGAGUGCCACCGGCUUCGCUGAAGAAUUACGCCAAUUAAUGGAAGAUAGGUCUGUCGAUAGACAGGCUGAAACUACUGAUGGUUGGGCUGACAGUCCAAAUUCCAAAACAGCCAUCCCACUUCCUAGAGGAAAGGGCUCUCUCUCUCUCUCUCUCUCUCUCUCUCUCUCUCUCUCUCUCUCUCUCUCUCUCUCAUUUUAUUGAAUGUAAGUACAAAUAGCUGGCUCUUUCUUUCAGGUUUGAGGUCAUUCAGUAAUAAGUCUUCCCCAAUGCAAACUAUUUUGAGGGUUACAAUUUUAUGUUUUGUCCCCCCCCCCCAGUGUUAUAGUAGUGGUGCUUGUCAAAGUGAAAGUGGCUCUCAUAUGGAAACCCUGACACCUUCCGUGCACACGUAAGAAAAGGAUCACUGGUUCGUGUUCCCAUAUGGAAUUGUACACAAACAUUGAAUGCAGGUCUAAACCACCCAGGAUCCACCAAGCCAAGUGUCGUCAUAUACGUUGGCCCACCUGGCCUCAAUCAACCUCCUGUCUUGGCUGCUGUCUUUGACUCAGCAGAUCCCCAUUUCUGUCAUCCUGAUUCCAUCCCUUCGGUCUUGUGUUCCAGACAGCAAUUGUGUGUAGGAUCUGUAGAGCUUUUGCUCAAAUUCCAAGCACAGUGGUCUCACCCUACAGACACACCCUUCAGGUUACUCCUGAAAUGGGAAAAAUGUUCUUUGGCUCUAAUUUCAUUUUCUGACAUUAGAAACAGGAUAGAUCCAAUUUGUAAGUAUUUAUUCUUUAUAAUUUAUUCUAUUUCUAUACCGCCCCUCCAAAAAUGGCUCAGGGCAGUUUAAACAGAGAAAUAAUAAAUCAAUAAGAUGGAUCCCUGUCCCCAAUGGGCUGACAAUCUAAAACAAAACAUAAGACAGACACCAGCAACUGUCACUGGAGAUACUGUGCUGGGGGUGGAUAGGGCCAGUUACUCUCCCCCUCUAAAUAAAGAGAAUCACCCCAUUAAAGGUACCUCUUUGCCAAGUUAGCAGGAGAAGCUAUAUUACUUCUAAUGUGAAAAAGGUACAUGAUACAGAAACCCAAUAUUGAUGCAAAGCAAAGAAUUCAUUCGACAGCAAAAUCAUUUUUUAUUAUGAACAUUUUGCCUUUCCAUUAUCAAAAUGAUGUGGUCGCUAAGAGUUGACACCCACUUGACAGCAAUCCAUCCAUCAAUCACAUGCGUGCCACAAAGAAGCAGUUCUUUUCUGCCCGCAUUGCUUCUGCAAGCUCACAUUCAGCAGAGUCGUCUCGAGUUGUGAAAGCGUUAGUACAUGACCCUCCUCCCUUGAAUGAGUAUUUGGAUCCAUCAGUUACCCACUUUAACAUUUUAAACGAGAUGUUUGCAGAUGAAAACUCUCUUCAUCCAACGGAACUAGACUCGACAGGUAGUGCAGAGCCUACUGUGGAGGUGUCCGGCAGCUCCUCUUGCACUGUGAAAUUGGAUCAUUUUCCAUUUGUGAGCACGGAGGAUGUGGACAAGCUGCUUGGGAGACUUCACUUGACUACCUGUUUUCUUGAUCCUUGCCCAACAUGGCUUAUACCAUCUAGCAAGGAGGUGAUCGGAUUAGGUCUUGGAAGCAUCAUUAAUGCUUCUCUGAGGAAGGGCAGGAUGCCUCCUUGCCUCAGGAAGGCCAUGAUUAGACCACUGUUGAAGAAACCUGCAUUGGAUCCCAUUCUAGGCCUGUCUCCAACCUCCCAUGGUAGGGCAAGCGGAUUGAGAGGGUAGUGCCAUCUCAGCUCCAGGAGUCUUGGAAGAAGGAGAUGAUCAGGGCCCAUUUCAAAAUGGCUUCCGGGUGGGCUAUGGGGUUGAGAAGGACUUGGUCCUUGGUUGGGUGAUCUCCAAUUGGGAAUUGACAGGGGGAGUGUGACCCUGAGGAUCCUUGUGGAUCUCUCAGCCGAUCCUUUUGAUAUCAGUGAAUCAUGGCACCUACUGGAGCGCAUGAAGGGGUAGGGAGAGGGGUAGGGAGUGAGAGGCACCGCUUUGCGUUGGCUCCACUCCUACUUCUCAUGUAGGUCCCAGAUGCUGUUGCUUGGAGAUUGUUGCUCUUCCAAAGGAGAGCUAUUGUAUGGGGUUGCACAGGGCUCCAUUCUAUCUCCAAUGCUUUUUAAUAUCUACAUGGAACGGUUCGGGGAAAUUGUCCGGGAUUUGGAGCAGGGUGUUAUCCUAUACUGACACCCAAACCUCUUUCUCCAUCUCAACUUCAUUAGGAAAUGGACUAACUUCCCGAAAGACUUACCUGGAGUCCGUGAUGAGCUGGAUGAGAGAGAACAAACUGAGGCUGAAUCCAAGGAAGACAAAGAAUUUUUCACCAACUACGAAUGAAAAGAUUCCUCAGGCAAUGCACACACUACACUGUGCUGUCAGUAGAGUGUCGCCCGUGAAGCUCGUCACUCCCACCCUGAUAUCUCUAUUGCCUAAAGUCCACAAAAAAGUCUCAGUCAUCAGCUCUGAUUCCAAAAAAGCUGACUUGGGUAUCUACAAACCUUAAGUCUGCACAGUGACUUCCGGGCCAAGACAGGGAUCAUUACCAUCCCAACAUAGACUCGAGAGACCGCUCUACUCUCCAAAACACUAUCCCAUAGGAUUCGGCAUAUUGCUACUGAGAACCUCGACAC